AUUGAACGCUGGCGGCAGGCCUAACACAUGCAAGUCGAACGAGUGGCGGACGGGUGAGCAAUGUCUGGGAAACUGCCUGAUGGAGGGGGAUAACUACUGGAAACGGUAGCUAAUACCGCAUACCAUCGGAUGUGCCCAGAUGGGAUUAGCCAGUUGGUGGGGUAACGGCUCACCCAGGCGACGAUCCCUAGCUGGUCUGAGAGGAUGAACGACCACACGGGAACUGAUACACGGUCCAGUCUGCUACGGGAGGCAGCAGUGGGGAAUAUGGAACAAUGGGCGCCAGCCUGAUGCAGCCAUGCCGCGUGAAUGAAGAAGGACUUGGGGUUGUAAAAUACGGUCAGCGGGGAGGCGUUACCCGCAGAAGAAGCACCGGCUAACUCCGUGCCAGCAGCCGCGGGAAGAC
rnacentral:rRNA from 1 species